rnacentral:misc_RNA from 1 species
GUUGGUGAACCAGCGGAGGGAUCAUUACCGAGUUACCAAACUCCAAACCUUUGUGAACAUACCCAUCGUUGCUUCGGCGGGCGGCUCCCCGGAGCCCCAGGCCUCGCGGUGCCCGCCGAAAGCCCCAAACUCUUCUGUAUUUACAGGUCUUAUCUUCUGAGUACAAACACAAACAAGUAAAAACUUUCAACAACGGAUCUCUUGGUUCUGGCAUCGAUGAAGAACGCAGCAUCUGACUGACUUGAAACUU